AGAAAAAGAACAACAACAACAACAACAACAACAACAACGGCGGACAGGUGGAGAGGGAAAGGCCAAAACGUCAAGCUACAGGCAGUCAAAACAAGUGAUCACAGGGAUGUGACUGUCGCGGAUGGAGUCUUAUGACGAUGCACAAAAAGAUAACCAAGAAGCUCUCCUUGGACCCUGGUGGGAUUAGAUAUCUCCUGCCAUUUGUCGCCUAGUCUUCCACCAACUUGUGAGUACUAACAUGGUGCAUGUGUUUAGUGUUUAAGGCACAGGUUUAUAUUUAUGUGUGGAUGGUAUGGCUAUUUUUCUACCAACGUUCAAGAAACCUAAAAUAUCCCCACCAACAUUUUAGCUUGUAAUCAAAAAGGCUGCAACAGAUUGCAUUAUGGUUUGAUCACAUUUCUACUUGUGAAUUAGAACAGGCUUUUUAUAGGCACCUUUCAGCUCCAAGGGCUAAGGCUGAAUCCGAAUCCUCCCCUUAUCCCUUACCCUUUGUCUUAUCCCUCAUUGUGCGCGUUCACGUGAGAGCUAGUGCUGUCCGAAUCCUCGUCUUGAUCGAGUGUUAGGGCUUAGGGGGAGGGUCAGAUGUCCCUUCCGACCAAGUAAGGACGCGAGCUGACUUCGCCAGCAGGGGUACAUUGCAUACAUUGCACAACAAGGAACAUGGCUGCCAGGUCGACCAGAGAGACCCAUAAAUUGUCACACAGGGACGCCAGAGGAAACCCGGCAGCUAAUCCACUUUAGGUCUGAAAAGGAACCACUGUUUCUGAAAUCCAAAUAUGCUGCAAAGCAACUUUGGGAGACGCUGGUGAAAGAAAUUGGGUUGGAGGGGAAACUGACUGGCCAACAGGCAGCAAAGAAGUGGGAGAAUCUUAAACAGAAAUACAAGGAACUAAGAACUACAAGAACAGGGUCAGGUACAGACAGGGGGGAAGUGACCGCUGCAACCUGGCAAUUCUACGAGGACAUGCACGAGGUGUUGGGUGCCAGGCCCUCAGUCGACCCUCCUGUGUUAGUGGCAUCCUGUUCUGUGGAUGUAGAUCCCGCGGCAAUCCUCAUGGAGCCCUCAUCCCCAGCUAGCAGCUCCAGCAGUAGCAGCUCUGCAGUCAGCAGGUCACCACUGCCAAGUCCCUCGCCCGCAAAGAAAAGAAAAAGAAAUGCCAUCCUGGAUUUCCUCACUGAGGAGUUCAACAGGGAGCAGUGGCGCCACGAGGAGAGCGAGGCCGAGAACAAGGCAAACACACGGCAGUUGUUGUCCCUCCUUGAGAGGAUUGUUGAGAAAUUGUAGUGGUAGUUUUUUUUUUUUUUUAUGGCUGCCAUUUGCAACUUUUUUUG